GACGAACGCUGGCGGCGUGCUUAACACAUGCAAGUCGAGCGGAAAGGCCCUUUCGGGGGUACUCGAGCGGCGAACGGGUGAGUAACACGUGAGUAAUCUGCCCCUGGCUUUGGGAUAGCCACCGGAAACGGUGAUUAAUACCGGAUACGACCACUUCUCGCAUGGGAUGGUGGUGGAAAGUUUUUCGGCCAGGGAUGUGCUCGCGGCCUAUCAGCUUGAUGGUGAGGUAAUGGCUCACCAUGGCUUCGACGGGUAGCCGGCCUGAGAGGGUGACCGGUCACACUGGGACAGAGACACGGCCCAGACUCCUACGGGAGGCAGCAGUGGGGAAUAUUGGACAAUGGGCGGAAGCCCGAUCCAGCAACGCCGCGUGAGGGAUGACGGCCUUCGGGUUGUAAACCUCUUUCAGCAGGGACGAAGCGCAAGUGACGGUACCUGCAGAAGAAGCACCGGCCAACUACGUGCCAGCAGCCGCGGUAA
rnacentral:rRNA from 1 species